rnacentral:tRNA from 1 species
GGGUGCUUAGCUCAGUUGGUAGAGCGGAACCCUUACAAGGUUUAGGUCGGGAGUUCGAGCCUCUCAGCACCCACCA